AGAGUAUAGUUUAGUGGUAGAGGGCAUGCUUAACAUGCACAAGGUCCUGGGUUCAAUCCCCAGUACCUCUG
rnacentral:tRNA from 1 species